rnacentral:rRNA from 1 species
UACAGAGGGUGCGAGCGUUAUUCGGAAUUACUGGGCGUAAAGCGCGCGCAGGCGGCUUUGCAAGUCGGGUGUGAAAUCCCCAGGCUUAACCUGGGAACUGCAUUCGAGACUGCAUUGCUAGAGUAUGGGAGAGGGAAGUGGAAUUUCCGGUGUAGCGGUGAAAUGCGUAGAUAUCGGAAGGAACAUCAGUGGCGAAAGCGACUUCCUGGACCAAUACUGACGCUCAUGUGCGAAAGCGUGGGGAGCAAACAGG